rfam:Aedes albopictus isolate Foshan contig118601, whole genome shotgun sequence.
CCAUCGGCCCUUCUCAGGGCCACCAAAUCAAUCGGCCCUUAUCAG